UUAAGCGACUAAGCGUACACGGUGGAUGCCCUGGCAGUCAGAGGCGAUGAAGGGCGUGCUAAUCUGCGAUAAGCGCCGGUAAGGUGAUAUGAACCGUUAUAACCGGCGAUACCCGAAUGGGGAAACCCAGUGUGAUUCGUCACACUAUCAUUAACUGAAUCCAUAGGUUAAUGAGGCGAACCGGGGGAACUGAAACAUCUAAGUACCCCGAGGAAAAGAAAUCAACCGAGAUUCCCCCAGUAGCGGCGAGCGAACGGGGAGGAGCCCAGAGCCUGAAUCAGCAUGUGUGUUAGUGGAAGCGUCUGGAAAGGCGCGCGAUACAGGGUGACAGCCCCGUACACAAAAGCGCACGUGCUGUGAGCUCGAUGAGUAGGGCGGGACACGUGGUAUCCUGUCUGAAUAUGGGGGGACCAUCCUCCAAGGCUAAAUACUCCUGACUGACCGAUAGUGAACCAGUACCGUGAGGGAAAGGCGAAAAGAACCCCGGCGAGGGGAGUGAAAAAGAACCUGAAACCGUGUACGUACAAGCAGUGGGAGCACAGGUUUACCUGUGUGACUGCGUACCUUUUGUAUAAUGGGUCAGCGACUUAUAUUCUGUAGCAAGGUUAACCGUAUAGGGGAGCCGGAGGGAAACCGAGUCUUAACCGGGCGUUAAGUUGCAGGGUAUAGACCCGAAACCCGGUGAUCUAGCCAUGGGCAGGUUGAAGGUUGGGUAACACUAACUGGAGGACCGAACCGACUAAUGUUGAAAAAUUAGCGGAUGACCUGUGGCUGGGGGUGAAAGGCCAAUCAAACCGGGAGAUAGCUGGUUCUCCCCGAAAGCUAUUUAGGUAGCGCCUCGUGAAUUCAUCUCCGGGGGUAGAGCACUGUUUCGGCUAGGGGGCCAUCCCGGCUUACCAACCCGAUGCAAACUGCGAAUACCGGAGAAUGUUAUCACGGGAGACACACGGCGGGUGCUAACGUCCGUCGUGAAGAGGGAAACAACCCAGACCGCCAGCUAAGGUCCCAAAGUCAUGGUUAAGUGGGAAACGAUGUGGGAAGGCCCAGACAGCCAGGAUGUUGGCUUAGAAGCAGCCAUCAUUUAAAGAAAGCGUAAUAGCUCACUGGUCGAGUCGGCCUGCGCGGAAGAUGUAACGGGGCUAAACCAUGCACCGAAGCUGCGGCAGCGACACUGUGUGUUGUUGGGUAGGGGAGCGUUCUGUAAGCCUGCGAAGGUGGCCUGUGAGGGUUGCUGGAGGUAUCAGAAGUGCGAAUGCUGACAUAAGUAACGAUAAAGCGGGUGAAAAGCCCGCUCGCCGGAAGACCAAGGGUUCCUGUCCAACGUUAAUCGGGGCAGGGUGAGUCGACCCCUAAGGCGAGGCCGAAAGGCGUAGUCGAUGGGAAACGGGUUAAUAUUCCCGUACUUGGUGUUACUGCGAAGGGGGGACGGAGAAGGCUAUGUUGGCCGGGCGACGGUUGUCCCGGUUUAAGCGUGUAGGCUGGUUUUCCAGGCAAAUCCGGAAAAUCAAGGCUGAGGCGUGACGACGAGGCACUACGGUGCUGAAGCAACAAAUGCCCUGCUUCCAGGAAAAGCCUCUAAGCAUCAGGUAACAUCAAAUCGUACCCCAAACCGACACAGGUGGUCAGGUAGAGAAUACCAAGGCGCUUGAGAGAACUCGGGUGAAGGAACUAGGCAAAAUGGUGCCGUAACUUCGGGAGAAGGCACGCUGACACGUAGGUGAAGUGAUUUACUCAUGGAGCUGAAGUCAGUCGAAGAUACCAGCUGGCUGCAACUGUUUAUUAAAAACACAGCACUGUGCAAACACGAAAGUGGACGUAUACGGUGUGACGCCUGCCCGGUGCCGGAAGGUUAAUUGAUGGGGUCAGCGCAAGCGAAGCUCCUGAUCGAAGCCCCGGUAAACGGCGGCCGUAACUAUAACGGUCCUAAGGUAGCGAAAUUCCUUGUCGGGUAAGUUCCGACCUGCACGAAUGGCGUAAUGAUGGCCAGGCUGUCUCCACCCGAGACUCAGUGAAAUUGAACUCGCUGUGAAGAUGCAGUGUACCCGCGGCAAGACGGAAAGACCCCGUGAACCUUUACUAUAGCUUGACACUGAACAUUGAGCCUUGAUGUGUAGGAUAGGUGGGAGGCUUUGAAGUGUGGACGCCAGUCUGCAUGGAGCCAACCUUGAAAUACCACCCUUUAAUGUUUGAUGUUCUAACGUGGACCCGUUACCCGGGUUGCGGACAGUGUCUGGUGGGUAGUUUGACUGGGGCGGUCUCCUCCUAAAGAGUAACGGAGGAGCACGAAGGUUGGCUAAUCCUGGUCGGACAUCAGGAGGUUAGUGCAAUGGCAUAAGCCAGCUUGACUGCGAGCGUGACGGCGCGAGCAGGUGCGAAAGCAGGUCAUAGUGAUCCGGUGGUUCUGAAUGGAAGGGCCAUCGCUCAACGGAUAAAAGGUACUCCGGGGAUAACAGGCUGAUACCGCCCAAGAGUUCAUAUCGACGGCGGUGUUUGGCACCUCGAUGUCGGCUCAUCACAUCCUGGGGCUGAAGUAGGUCCCAAGGGUAUGGCUGUUCGCCAUUUAAAGUGGUACGCGAGCUGGGUUUAGAACGUCGUGAGACAGUUCGGUCCCUAUCUGCCGUGGGCGCUGGAGAACUGAGGGGGGCUGCUCCUAGUACGAGAGGACCGGAGUGGACGCAUCACUGGUGUUCGGGUUGUCAUGCCAAUGGCACUGCCCGGUAGCUAAAUGCGGAAGAGAUAAGUGCUGAAAGCAUCUAAGCACGAAACUUGCCCCGAGAUGAGUUCUCCCUGAGACUUAAAGUCUCCUGAAGGAACGUUGAAGACGACGACGUUGAUAGGCCGGGUGUGUAAGCGCAGCGAUGCGUUGAGCUAACCGGUACUAAUGAACCGUGAGGCUUAACCUU
rnacentral:rRNA from 1 species